UUCCCAGACUCCUACGGGAGGCAGCAGUGAGGAAUAUUGGUCAAUGGCCGAGAGGCUGAACCAGCCAAGUCGCGUGAGGGAUGACGGCCCUACGGGUUGUAAACCUCUUUUGCCGGGGAGCAAAGAGCGGGACGCGUCCCGCCUCGAGAGUACCCGGAGAAAAAGCAUCGGCUAACUCCGUGCCAGCAGCCGCGGUAAUACGGAGGAUGCGAGCGUUAUCCGGAUUUAUUGGGUUUAAAGGGUGCGUAGGGGGACGCUUAAGUGAGGGGUAAAAUUGGGGGGCACAACCUGGUCGAGCCGUUGAAACUGGGUGCCUUGAGUGGGCGAGAAGUACGCGGAAUGCGUGGUGUAGCGGUGAAAUGCAUAGAUAUCACGCAGAACUCCGAUUGCGAAGGCAGCGUACCGGCGCCCAACUGACGCUGAAGCACGAAGGCGUGGGUAUCGAACAGGAUUAGAUACCCCGGUAA
rnacentral:rRNA from 1 species